AGCCUUUGUGUUGCCCGUUCAUUUCCUUUUCAAAGUGAACGUGGUGUCAGAGAAGAUAUGUUUAAAAAAAAAAAAAGCAUUGCAAUAAGAACAUAACAGUC
rnacentral:snoRNA from 1 species